rnacentral:rRNA from 1 species
CUCUGAGACAGGUGCUGCAUGGCUGUCGUCAGCUCGUGUUGUGAAAUGUUGGGUUAAGUCCCGCAACGAGCGCAACCCUUAUCCUUUGUUGCCAGCGAUUCGGUCGGGAACUCAAAGGAGACUGCCGGUGAUAAACCGGAGGAAGGUGGGGAUGACGUCAAGUCAUCAUGGCCCUUACGAGUAGGGCUACACACGUGCUACAAUGGCGUAUACAAAGAGAAGCGACCUCGCGAGAGCAAGCGGAACUCAUAAAGUACGUCGUAGUCCGGAUUGGAGUCUGCAACUCGACUCCAUGAAGUCGGAAUCGCUAGUAAUCGUAGAUCAGAAUGCUACGGUGAAUACGUUCCCGGGCCUUGUACACACCGCCCGUCACACCAUGGGAGUGGGUUGCAAAAGAAGUAGGUAGCUUAACCUUCGGGAGGGCGCUUACCACUUUGUGAUCCAUGACUGGGGUGAAGUCGUAACAAGGUAACCGUAGGGGAACCUGCGGUUGGAUCACCUCCUUACC